AUGUGCCGCAGGCCCCUUCCCGGCCGGGCCCGCGCCCCUCACGGCGCAGCACGUGUUCCUGCGAGAACACAGGCGGCCGCGCCCCGCGCGUCCGCCAGGGGGCGCCGCCAGCAGCGCCGCGGAGGUCACAGCCCGGCUACGGCGUGCCGCCCCCCGCCCCCCACCGCCAGACCGGGCCCGCCGAGCCCCGCGGCCCAAGCGGAGGGGAAGGGGCCGGGCCCGCCCGCUCCCGAGGGCCGCCCGGAUGGGAAGGGGCCGCGGCAGGGGGAGGGGAAGCGGCUCCCCGGGCCGCCGCUGCCCACACGCGGCUCCGGGCCUAACAGGGAACAAUCGGCCCCAGCACGCAGCCGCCGCCAUGUCCCCCGCCUCCUCCCCCUCCCCAGCAACAUGGCGCCGCCGAGGCCCCGCAGCUGCCGCCGCGCCGAUUUCGUAACGAAGCCCGCGGCUCCCGGGCAGCGCGGGGCCCUCCCGCGGCCCCUCUCUCGCCCGCCCGGGGGAGGCGGGAGCCCGCGCCCCACCGCCCGCUCUCCCACGCCGCCGAGGAGCGCGGCCCGGAGGAGGGGAGGAAGAGGAGGGCCCGCCGCCCCCGCCCCUCUGCGAACAAAAGCCCACGCGGAGGGGCCCGGGACGCGCUCGCAGCCCGCGGCGCUGCCCCCCUCCCCGGGGCCCCGCGCCCCCUCCCCCGGGGGGCGGCGGAGCACAAAGCGCCUCCGCCGGGAACUCCCCGAGAAGCCCCCCCCGGCCCCUCCCCGCCGCCUCCACCUCCCGCGUUACCGCCGCUGCCGUUCCCGAGCUGGGCGUGGGCGGCGAACGGAGCCCCCGAGCCGCCGCGGCCUCUGCCCCAUGUGCCGCUUUGUUCUGGCGCCGCCAGCUCCCCCCCGCGCCGCGCCGGGCACGCCACAAACUUUCCCGGCCGGGCCUCGGGCCGCCGGGGCACGGCCCCCGCCCGCAACCACCGCGGCCGCUGCCAUUGUGCCGCGCCGCGCCGCCCGGGGGGCUCGGCCGCUCCCCGCUCCGGGCCCGGGCCGCGGCCGGGGGGGAGGGAGGGAAGAAAGGGGGCGGCGGGGCUCGCCGCAGCGGCGCGAGGCGCGCACGCUUUUCAAAUCUCCCUCAUUCCGGCCCCUCCCGCCCCGUGUGCGAGCUCGGGAGGCGCCGUCGCCGCCGCCGCGGCUGCCAUGCGCCCUGCUCCCGCUCUCCCCCGCCGCCCACCCACUCACCCACACCCCCUCCCGCCGCCCCGGCCACUCACAGCGGCCCGUCCGCCCGCACCCCCCGCGCCGCCGCCGCCGCGCUGCCCCCCGCUCCUCACCGCCACGGCUCUCCCGGCGGCCACGCGCGCGCGGCAGUGACACUCACCCGCCGGCGGCCGCCACCAUCUUCCCUCCGCCCGGCCCCGGCGCCCCGCGCGGCGGCGGCGGCGGGGCGAGGCGCGGAGCGCCGCCGCUCCCGGCGGAGCCCGUGGGGGGUGGAGGGGGGGAAGCGGCGUGGAGGCGGCGGGUCGCGGCGGCGGCCGGGCUCGGGGACCAUGUGGGUGAAUGA
rnacentral:lncRNA from 1 species